rnacentral:misc_RNA from 1 species
AAAGUCGUAACAAGGUUUCCGUAGGUGAACCUGCGGAAGGAUCAUUAUUGAAUCCUUAGGAUGUUGCUGGCCUUGCAAAAGGCAUGUGCACUCCGCCUAUUCAAACCCCAUGUGAACUUAUUGUAGGCUUCAGAUUUUAACAAGUCUGUUGUCUAUGUUUUUAAUACACUCUUUGUAUAUUGAAUGUCUAAAUGAUUGGAAAUAUAUAAUACAACUUUCAACAAUGGAUCUCUUGGUUCUC